rnacentral:rRNA from 1 species
UACGUAGGGUGCGAGCGUUGUCCGGAAUUAUUGGGCGUAAAGGGCUCGUAGGCGGUUUGUCGCGUCGGGAGUGAAAACCCAGGGCUUAACUCUGGGCUUGCUUUCGAUACGGGCAGACUAGAGGUAUGCAGGGGAGAACGGAAUUCCUGGUGUAGCGGUGAAAUGCGCAGAUAUCAGGAGGAACACCGGUGGCGAAGGCAGCUCGCUGGAACGGUACUGACGCUGAGGCGCGAAAGCGUGGGGAGCAAACAGG